AUUAACAUAGUCAUAAUCACAACAGAUGAGAAUUUCUAAAUAGACGGAAAUACAAACAAUCCGGAAGAUAUUGAGAUAUAAAAAUGGCGACGACGGUGACAUCAAGUCCACAUAUACAAUUUUCAUUCAACACCGACCGAAUCGAACUUCUGAACUCCGAGCCGAAGAUUAAUUACUGUAAAAGAUGGAUUGCAGUUGUCGCGUACUUGGUAUGCACAUUUACACCAGUCGUUGCACUGUCAACUUAUUUUUUGGUUUACUGGCAUCCAGGACAGUAAAAGUGCUGGGGAACUAGACAGGAUAUGGAAAACGAUUCGCCUGGAGUAAAAUGAUAUUAACUAUACGGAAAAAACGAUUCAUCGAGAAAAAAUAAGACAGCUUCAUAUCUUGGUUAUUAUAAAAAAUGUCAAUGAAAUGUUUCUCAUUUAUCAAAGUUUGUUAUAUCUUAGUUAUUAUAAAAAAUGUCAAUGAAAUGUUUCUCAUUUAUCAAA